rnacentral:rRNA from 1 species
AGAGUUUGAUCCUGGCUCAGAAUCAACGCUGGCGGCGCGCUUAACACAUGCAAGUCGCACGAGAAAGGGAGCAAUCCUGAGUAAAGUGGCGUACGGGUGAGUAACACGUGGAUCAUCUACCUUUUAGUGGGGAAUACCUCCGGGAAACUGGAGACAAUACCGCAUAAGCUCGAAAGAGGAAAGCAGCAAUGCGCUGAAAGAGGAGUCCGCGGUCGAUUAGCUAGAUGGUGAGGUAAUGGCUCACCAUGGCGAAGAUCGAUAGCCGGCCUGAGAGGGCUCACGGCCACACUGGCACUGAAACACGGGCCAGACUCCUACGGGAGGCAGCAGUGGGGAAUUUUGCGCAAUGGGGGAAACCCUGACGCAGCAACGCCGCGUGGAGGAUGAAGCCCUUUGGGGCGUAAACUCCUUUCGACUCGGAAGAUUAUGACGGUACGAGUGAAGAAGCCCCGA